rnacentral:rRNA from 1 species
AUUGAACGCUGGCGGCAGGCCUAACACAUGCAAGUCGAGCGAGCGGCGGACGGGUGAGUAAUGUCUGGGAAACUGCCUGAUGGAGGGGGAUAACUACUGGAAACGGUAGCUAAUACCGCAUACCAUCAGAUGUGCCCAGAUGGGAUUAGCUAGUCGGUUGGGUAAUGGCUCACCUAGGCGACGAUCCCUAGGUGUUCUGAGAGGAUGACCAGCCAAACGGGACCUGAGACACGGUCCAGACUCCUACGGGGGGUAGCAGGGGGGAAUAUGGCACAAUGAGCGCAGGCCUGAUGCAGCCAUGCCGCGUGUGUGAAGAAGGCCUUCGGGUUGUAAAGCACUUUCAGCGGGGAGGCGUUACCCGCAGAAGAAGCACCGGCUAACUCCGUGCCAGCAGCCGCGGUAAUAC